AGUGCUGGGAAGGCGAUGGGAGGGGCACAUUAGGAAAGAUCCCAAGUUUGAUUUGGGGCAGAGAGCGCCCAGGCUAUUAGAGAUGGUGGUUUAGUUACUAAAGGACGGGCUGGGAGAGAGGUUACAGCAAAAAAAUAGGUGGAACCAUGAUCAAUGGAAGGACCCCAAGCGCACAGAGGACUUUAGGGCAAAACCCCAGAGCCCCAGGGAGUUACGGAGAAGAGAGGCGAGUACCGGAAACCAGGGGAAACGCAGAGCCUCCGAGGUGCUGCUGUCAAGAGCGGAGCUGCAAGGUCUCGGGUGCAGGUGAGUGGGGAGGAGGGUGCAGCUCAGAGGGGUCCAGGAAGAGGGUGCCCCGAAGGGCAAAGGCUGGGCAGAGGGUGAUGCAAGGACGGGACCUGGGCCUGCGGGCGGAGAGGGACAAGGGGUGGGUGGAGGUGUGCAGGGUGGGUCUGGGCUCCGAGUUCCAGAGCUUAGAAGUGGACACUGGUGUGGCCGCCCACGCCCAGGGCUGGGCCUGGCACCAAGGAGGGAGGCGGCGGAGAACUGGCUUCUUUUCAGAUGCUGGAGAUCCAGGGCAUUUGGGGGAGGGGGUCGGAUCAGGGGCAGGUUGCCCCUCUGGGGAGCUGCAGCCGGAACUGUGAAGGCCACUGCCUUCCUCUCGGUAGCAGCCGUUCAUUCAACUAAAAACUCAUUUUUCCAAACUUUAUUUUGUGGAAAUGUCGGUGCCUCAUAAAAGCGAUAAGAAUUGCAGCCCUGGUAAGAAGGUGGUCGGGC
rnacentral:lncRNA from 1 species